GGCGUGGGGCGGCUGGGUGCGUGGGGUGGGGGAAGGUCACCUCUCCGGCCUCUCUGGGCCCUCCAGCCUCUUCCUGAGACGAGCUCGCCUUGGCCCCUUGGCUGGGGGGAUGGGAGCGUCUCCGGAAGGCCCUGGGCCGAGCAGCUGGGCCUGCACCCCUGGUCCCUUCCAGUUCGUUUCUGCUGCGGCGGCAGGAGGCUGGGGAGCCGAUGACUCACCCUGCCGGCUAAUUGCAGCGUUAAAUAACUUUGCGCCGGAUUCGGUGGCUGCAGCAGGGAACGCACUCCGGGCGCCGGGGGAGGUGCAGGGACGCCCUGUGAGAAUGCACCUCCGUCCCUGUCACCACCCUUAGCAAGUUCUGGCCUGUGGAGCCCUCACCCAGAGCGCACAGCUUCAUGCCCCUGAAGGGCGCAGUGUGUCCCGUGGUGCCCGGUGGGCCCGGACAGAGCCCCCAGAGGCUCUGUCUGAAGGAAGCUGCACCCACAGGCUCCAGGCAGCGCGGGCGCGGGCCCGUCGCCCACCUUUCUCGGAAACCAUCUGCCCAUGUGAAUCUGUGUGAAGGCCCUUCAUGCGCUCCUGGACAUCUGCGUGGGAUUUGCUUCAACUGCUAUAGCUGCGAGGAGGACGAGCAUGUUUCACUGUAUUUUUAGCAGAGAGUGCAGAUUUUAGAACCUCGAGAACGGUCCUGUACCUACUGCACGAUGACUCGCCAGAACAGUAGGAAUAGUGACCCUUCCUUUGCAUUUAUGGUGCAUAGGUUUUCAAAGGACAGUGUGUAAAUCAGCUUGUGUAAUAAUUGUGGCACCCACGCGCGCAAGCAGACUUACCAUGAGCUGACUUCCACUGAUUAUUUCAGUUUCCAGGGAAACGAGGUUUGCAGCCCCCUCCAGUGAGGGCGGAGCGGCCUCUCCAUUCCCAAUGCAGCAAGGCUGCUGCAGCCACGAUGAUUAGGCUUUGGAGGAGGAAGUGAACGGAUGGGGCCUCAUCCUCCUCCCUCCCUAAAGGAUGAGGGUGGAAGGAUGCGGCUGUGCCCUCUUAGGACAGGGAAAAACAGCUUGGAGGGGUUUCUGCCAUCAGAGAUCCCGUAGGAGGCAGGUCAGUCCUGUGGAAUUCCUCCCCAGUCUGGCCUCCAGCCUCCCUGGCCCCUUCUAGAGGCCUCCAUCCCACUGGUGGCUUGCUCCUGCCACCGGGCCUUUGCACGGGCACCUCCUGCAGCCUAGGGUGUGUCGCUUCUCCACGUCCUCACCGGCGUCUGCCUUUGUGUUUCCCAGAUGCUCGCUUCACCCCACUGAGGAGUAACUCAGUUUUGUGGGAUCCCACUGCCCUCCAGGUGCCGCUCCGAGUGCUCUACACAGAUUUUCAUUCAGUCCUUGCGGCACACGAAGGGAUGGCCUCUGCGCUUGAGCUGGUUUCUGACACCUAAAAACAGAGGUGGAAAUGGGAGCAGACGCAGCCACAUUUUGAAAGCUGAUUCGGUUGCUUUCUGGCAGAAUCCGUGCCCCCAAGCACCUGCUAGGCCCACCCAUGAAGCCUCUUCCCACCCCUUAACUCCGCCCCAUGAGGGGACCUCAGGCAGCUGCAGUCUAAUCAGGUGAUUUGCAGGGCUCAGGGCUCAGGGAGGGGCACCCACCUCAGAAAGAAGCACCGUGCUUAUGAGAAAUGACUUCUACAGGUUGUUGGGGAAAGAGGAGUUAUUUUAACGAUGACAGAGCCUGUGAUGUGCCAGGCGCGUUCACACAGGGCAUAUAGUCCCCGCAGCUGCCUCUGUGCUGGGGCCACGUCACCGUCCUGUUCUAAAGACAAGGAACCCGAAGCCCAGAGAUGGUGUCUUAAAACAAUCGUGUGGUUUUUUCUGAUUACAACAGCAAUUGUGUUAAUCCAACAAUAUUUUUCCUAUCAACUGUAAACCUUAUUUUACUAUUUACAUAAUUAUUAGCAUUUAAAAUUCAGUCUCCUAGAAUAUUGACUUCAAUUAGUUUGGCUGAUUGUAACUUUUUUUUUCUAAUUUAUUUAUCACUUAACUUUUUAAGUACAUUUUUUUUGAGACGGAGUCUCGCUCUGUCACCCAGGCUGGAGUGCAGUGGUGCAAUUUCGGCUCACUGCAACCUCUGUCUCCUGGGUUCAAGCGAUUCUCCUGCCUCAACCUCCUGAGUAGCUGGGACUACAGGCUCCCACCACCAUGCCCGGCUAAUUUUUGUAUUUUUAGUAGAGAUGGGGUUUCACCAUGUUGUCUAGGCUGGUCUCUAACUCCUGACCUCAAGUGAUCCCCAACCUCGGCCUCUCAAAGUGCUGGGAUUACAGGUGUGAGCCACCAUGCCUGGCCUCUUUUUAGUACUUUUAUCCUUUAUCUUUUUAACUACAUAAGUACUCAACAUUUUAAAUUAUUAAUCUUCACUGUGUUAUUUCCAAGAACAAUCACUAUUGAUCUUUCACUUACACAGCCACAGUGUGCACCUCUCUGUGUAACUGCACAGCUGGUGAUUUAUUGAAAGAACUUACUCUCAAAACCACAGCCAGCGAGUUCUCAGAGACACAAUAAUGCACCUUAAUUAUGAGUUUAAAAGCUCUUGUCUUGUGAAAUGUAAUCGAUCCACAGAAAAAUCAUAAAGUAUACAUGUAAUAGCUUAAUGACUUAUAAGUGAAGAUCUGUAUACUUCCCACUCGAAAAACAGAAUGUUGCAAGAUUUGAGUACACAACCCAUACCUUUCCAACAACAGCCUCCCUCCCACCAGAGCUUCUGCUGAGUUCACUUGAAAUCACUUCCUUGCAUUUAUUUAUACUUUUAUUACCUUGACAUGCAUCCCUAACCAUUCUAGUUUGAAUUUGCCUGGUGUUUGAACUUUAUAUUAAUGGAAUCAUAGGACAUAUUUCUUAUAUCUCUGGCUUCAUUCAUUCAACUUUGUGUCUGUGAAAUGUAUCCAUGUUGCAUGCAACGGAGGCUCAUUCAUUGCUGGUUACUGAUUCACUGCAUGAAUGUGACACAGUUUAUUAACCAUUUCACUGCUGAUGAACAUUUGAUCGUUUCUAGUUUGGGAAUACUAUUAAUAAUUUUUGAACCUUCUUAUUUGUGUGCCCUGAUGUACAUGGACAUGCAUUUUUGGGGUGUAUACUUAGGGAAAUUGCCAGUUCAUGAGUAACACCUAUCUUCAGGUAUUACUUUUUGUGCCCUUUUAUACUGAGAUACAAUUUACAUGCAAUACCAAUCAUUCAUGUUAAGUGUACAACUCAGUGAGUUUAGACAACUGGACACCUUGUUAUGAGUCACCACCACCAAGAUGAUCCAGCACUGUCCCAACUCCCCCCAAGUUCUCCUUUGCAGGCACCCUCUCCCUCCAUUCUGGGCACAGGCAACCAUGACCUGCUAUCUGUCAUCAUAGCUUUAGUAUAAAAUUUCACAUACAUGGACUCAGGGAGCAUAGAGUCUUUCCUGUCUGGCUUCUUUCCGCUGGCAAAAUGCUUGGAGACUUUUCCAUGUUGCUGUAUGAAUCAAUGGAUCAUUUGUUUUCGUGGCUGAGCAGAAUUCCACCAACAUUUGUUUACUCAUCCAUGAAAUGAUGGACAUUUGGUGUUUUUCCAUUGAGAUUGUUAUGAAUAAUGCUGCUAUUGUCAUUCAAGGACAAGUCUUCUGUGAACAUCUGUUUUCACUUCUCUUGGGUACAUCCUUAGAAGUGGUAUUGCUGGACUGUAUCAAAAGUUAAUAUUUAACUUUCAAGAAACUUACAAACUGUUUUCCAGAGUGGCUGUACCAUUCUGCAUUCCCAGACCGAAGUGCGAAAGCUGCAGAUGCCCCACGGCCUCAAUAGCCCACGAUGUUGUCAGCCUUAAUAAUGCUGACCAUUCUGGUGGGUUUGCAGUGUAUCUCAUUGUGUUUUAAUUUGCAUUACCUUGACAACUAAUGGCGUUGAGACUUUCAUAUAUCUUUAGUAAAGAGUCGUUCCAAAUCCUCUGCCAAUUUUUUAAAAAUUGGGUUGUCUUCUUGUAAUUGAGUUGUAAGAAUUAUUUAUACGUUCUGAACGUAAAUUAUUUAUUGGAUAAAUGUUUCGCAAGUAUUUUCUCCCAGUCUUUGACCUACCUUCUCAUCUUCUUAUCAACAUCUUUUAAAAAGCAAAACUUUCCAUUUUGAUGACAUCCAAUUAUUACUUUUUUCUUUUAUGGUUUUUGUGUACUAUUUAGGAAAUAAUUGUCUAAACCAAGAAUACAAAUAUUUUCUUGUCUUUCAGAAGUUUUAUGGUUUUAGCUCCAAAGUGUACAUCUGUGAUCCACUUUGAAUUAAUUUUUGUAUAUGGUGUGAUGUAAUGGUCAAGGUUUUUAUUUUUGCAUAUGGAUAUCCAAUUGUUCCAGUACCAUUUCUUGAAAAUAAUCACCAAUACCAUUAAAUUACCUUGGUACUUCUAUUGAAAAUCAUUGACUGGAAAAUGUGGAUUGAUCUCUAGGCUCUCAGUUCUGACCCAUUGACUUAUAUGUCUGUUCCUUUUUUUUUUUUUUUUUUUGAGAUGGAGUCUCACUCUGUUGCCCAGGCUGGAGUGCAGUGGUGCUAUCUCCACUCACUGCAACCUUUGCCUCCCGGGUUCAAGCAAUUCUCCUGCCUCAGCCUCCCGAGUAGCUAGGAUUACAGGCGUGUGCCACCACACCCGGCUAAUUUUUGUAUUUUUAGCAGAGACGGGGUUUCACCAUGUUGAUUAGGCUGGUCUUGAACUCCUGACCUCAUGAUUCACCUGCCUCAGCCUCCCAAAGUGCUGGGAUUACAGGCAUGAGUCACCGCACCCAGCCACAUCUGUUCUUAUGCUAACAUCACAGUAUCUGGAUUAUUGUAGCUCCAUAGUGAAUGCUGGAAUCAGGUAAUGUGAGUCUUCCAACAUUUUUACUCUUUUUCAAAAUAAUUUGGCUAUUUUAGGUCCUUUGCAUGUCCAUACAGAUUUUAGGCUCAGCUUGUCAAUUUCUACCCAAAAAUGUCUUUGAGAUUGUAUUGAAACUAUAUCUUAAUUUGGGGAUAAUUAGUAUGUUAGCAAUAUUGAAUCUUCUAACCUACAUUUACUUAGUCUUCAUUAAUUUAUCUCAUCAAUAUUUUGUAGUUUUCAGUGCACAGGCUUUGCACACAUUUUGUUAAAUUUCCCUAUAAGGAUUUCAUAUUUUGAUAUUUUUCAUUUUGUAAAUGUUAAUUUAAAGAAAUAAGACUCCCUCGUUAUUUUUCUUUUUUUUCUGGUUUUUUUUUUUUUUUUAAUUUUGUUUUUUUAUAGAGACAAGGUCCCACUAUUUUGCCCAGGCUGGUCUCGAACUCCUGGGCUCAAGCAGUCCUCCCACCUCAGCCUCUCAAAGUGCUGGGAUUACAGGCAGGAGCCACCACACCUGGCCAGAUACCCUCAUUAGAUUUUUGUGUCUAUUCUUAUUUCUUUAAAGUAACAUUUACUUUAAUAAAUGUUACUAUAUAAACAUAUAGCAUUACUAUAAAAUUGUUUGUUACUAGUACAUAUAAAUACAAUUAACUUUUUAGAUUGCCCUUUUACCCUGUGACCUUGUUAAAUUCACUAAUUCUAGCAGCCACUUUUGUGUAUUUGGUAAGAUUUUCUACAUAGACAAUCAUGCCACAGGUAAAUAGAACACAUUUUACUGCUUCCUUUCCAAACUGCAUGCUUGUUUUUUUUUUCUUGCUUUAUUGCAUUGGCUAGGUCCUCAUGCAUAAUAGUGAAUAGAAGUAAUGAGAGUAAACACCCUUGCCUUGUUUCUUCUCUUAGUGGGAAACCAUUUCACCCUUAAGUAUAAUGUAAGCUGUAAUUUUUUUGUAGAUGCCUUUUAUCAGGUUGAAAUCUAUUUCUGUUUUGAGUGUUUUUAUCAUGAACAGUUGAUGAAUCUUGUCAAAUGCUUUUUCCCUCAUCUUUUGAGAUUAUCAUAUGGCUUUUCUUUUUCAGCCUGUUAAUAUGAUGAAUUACACUGAUUCAGUUUCAAAUGUCCAACCAAGCUUGCACUCCAGAGAUGAAGCCCACUUGAUCACAUGUAUUAUUCUUUUAAUAUAUGAUGGAUACAACUUGC